UAGUAACUGUUGAAGUUAGAUGGUGGGUAUCUGCAGGUUCAUUAUACACUUGUCUUUAUUUUUGUCAGUGUUUGAGUAUUUUUAUAAUAAAAACAGCAAGAAAAGACAUGACUGGGUGCUUGUAGUGCUGAGUUCUAGCUACAUUUCAAAGAAUAAGCAUUUCUGAUUUAAAUACUUGUGGCCUUACAAAGAUGAAAACUUCUCCCAUUCUAUGAAGCUAGCAUACCUUAAACACUUUUGGAAACCUUUUUGCAGAGCAGCAGCAUGCAUGAAGACAAGCCUAGUUCCAAGCGCAGCGCUGGGGGAAGUUCGCGCAGGAACACAGCUGUGCGCGCAAAUACCCAGCGCCUGGUGAGCACCCGCACCCUCCGUGCACACUUCAGACAGUGUCUUUUGCUGAAGCAAGCAUAACUGCCGUCGUGGGGCAGGGACCAACUCCUCCUGCGGACCGAGCGGCUCCCGGGUCCCUGCGGCGGUAGACGGGACGCGCGGGCGGGGAGACGGUGGACGCGCGGGCGGGGAGACGGCGGCCCCGCGGGUGGGGUCGGGGAGCCGGUCCCCGAGGCCGAGGGAGCUGGAGCAGAGGACUCCAUCGGGCCUUCCUGAGGCGGCCCUCGAUGGACCCUUCGCUGACCGCGGCGGAGGUCGCAGGGAGCGGAGCUGUCGGAGGACUUGGCCUGAGCAAGACCGGCACACACAGAGAACAGCAAGCUGAGGGCGUCCUCCACUGCAGCCUGUGCCAGUAGAACCAAUGCUGUCGUAAUCCGUGGCCCACCAGGAGCCACGGAGUUCUUUGGAAUGGAGUAGAAAAGUGGAAGGUGACUUGUGGCAAUAGCAACUGGACCUAAGGAAUUUCUGUCAGCCCCUCUUAGGACACCCACCUGGCUUCCUGCCUGGCCCUUGAACAGAUAGGAUGUCCUCUACAGGGUCUCAGGAAAUGGAGUAAUGGGAGCAAAGGACUACUCAGCCCUGACGGUGAUGGAAGUCACAUAUCCAGAGCCCUUCGUCAGUGGACCUGGCUGUUUCCUCCCACGUGUCAGGCCUCUCAUGUGCCACUCUCUCUUCUAAGAGGUGACUCUACUUUUGGGGGUGGCCUAGAGCUAGAGCGUUACAGUCAUCUCUGCUGUAGGAUGGCACUCUCAGACUAAGACCCGAGUCAGGCUCCUUCGGAUGCCAGGGUAGCAAGUUACAGCAGAGGCUCUUUUAGUUGUUUGGACCAAGUAAGCUCAGUAGCUCAUUUCCCUGUACUAGUGUGUAUCAAAUGUGUUCCCUCUGUCCUUCCCACUGCUUUAAAUAAAGCAGUGGUGGUGUCUGAAUAUUCACUGUGCAAAUGGUCUUAUCUAGAACCUACUUACCUUAUCAAAAACCUACUUCAGAGGGUCUCAAAUAUUGAUAUAAUCUUUUUUUCUUUUCUUUUGGUGGUGCAGAGGAUCAAACCUAGGGCUUCAUGCACUCUAGGCUAGCUCUACCACUGGGCCACACCUUCAGGCCAAUUUAAUCUAUUUUACGUAUUUUUUUUUUUUUUUUGAGACAGAGUUUCUCUAUGAAGUUCAUGCUAGACUUGAGCUCACUUUGUGGCC
ensembl:lincRNA